ACGAACGCUGGCGGCGUGCUUAACACAUGCAAGUCGAACGAAGAGCGAUGGAAGCUUGCUUCUAUCAAUCUUAGUGGCGAACGGGUGAGUAACGCGUAAUCAACCUGCCCUUCAGAGGGGGACAACAGUUGGAAACGACUGCUAAUACCGCAUACGAUCCAAUCUCGGCAUCGGGACUGGAUGAAGGGUGGCCUCUAUUUAUAAGCUAUCACUGAAGGAGGGGAUUGCGUCUGAUUAGCUAGUUGGAGGGGUAACGGCCCACCAAGGCGAUGAUCAGUAGCCGGUCUGAGAGGAUGAACGGCCACAUUGGGACUGAGACACGGCCCAGACUCCUACGGGAGGCAGCAGUGGGGAAUCUUCCGCAAUGGACGAAAGUCUGACGGAGCAACGCCGCGUGAGUGAUGACGGCCUUCGGGUUGUAAAGCUCUGUUAAUCGGGACGAAUGGUUCUUGUGCGAAUAGUGCGAGGAUUUGACGGUACCGGAAUAGAAAGCCACGGCUAACUACGUG
rnacentral:rRNA from 1 species